GGGUCGUUACAAGAGUGAUCUUCCUCAACUUAACCAAACAAUUGUUUUAUAUUCGGCUUCCAUUUAGCAGUUAGAGUGCAAGUGGCGAAAAUUUCUACCUAACUUAAUGCUGGCAUAAAGGGGGCCCACCUAGUGAUACGAUGGUAAAUCCUAAAAAUAAAGGCUAUGUUUUGGCAAUUGUUGCUAGAAGUGGUAGCUCUUGGUGAGCAUGAUGUUGAUAUUGAGUAAAAGUCUCUUGAUGAUCAAAUGAAUACAAAAACGGAGCGGUUUGAAAUUCCAAGUAAUAGUUUUUCAAAGUCUCAUGAAGUGGAGGAUAAAGAACCAAGGUUAGUUGAAAAGAAUGAUGAUAGGGAGGAAACUCAUAAAGUGAUUAUUGGUGAAAAGAUAAGAGGGGAUAAGCCUCAAAGUGUACCAUCACCCCCGCUGAAAAUUAUCCCUCUUUUCCACCAAGAUUAUAGAAAUAGGACGACAAUGACAAAUUCAAAAAAUUUAUUUCAAAGCUUAGCAACC
rnacentral:lncRNA from 1 species